UCCGGUUGAUCCCGCCGGGACCCGACUGCUAUCAGAGUGGGACUAAGCCAUGCGAGUCAACAUAGCAAUAUGUGGCAUACGGCUCAGUAACACGUAGUCAACAUGCCCAGGGGACGUGGAUAACCUCGGGAAACUGAGAAUAAACCACGAUAGAUCAUAGUGCCUGGAAUGGCUUAUGGUCCAAACAGUUUACUGCCAUGGGAUGGGACUGCGGCCUAUCAGCUUGUUGGUGAGGUAAUGGCCCACCAAGGCGAUUACAGGUACGGGCUCUGAGAGGAGUAGCCCCGGAGAUGGGUACUGAGACACGGACCCAGGCCCUAUGGGGCGCAGCAGGCGAGAAACCUUAGCAAUGUGCGAAAGCACGACUGGGUCAGUCCGAGUGAUUCCUGAUAAAGGAGUCUUUUGCCUGUCCUAAAAGCACAGGUGAAUAAGGGGUGGGCAAGUCUGGUGUCAGCCGCCGCGGUAAUACCAGCACCUCGAGUGGUCAGGACGUUUAUUGGGCCUAAAGCAUCCGUAGCCGGCUCUGCAAGUCUUCGGUUAAAUCCACCUGCUCAACAGAUGGGCCGCUGGAGAUACUACAGAGCUAGGGAGUGGGAGAGGCAGACGGUAUUCAGUGGGUAGGGGUAAAAUCCUCUGAUCCAUUGAGGACCACCAGUGGCGAAGGCGGUCUGCCAGAACACGUUCGACGGUGAGGGAUGAAAGCUGGGGGAGCAAACCGGGUUAGAUACCCGGGUAGUCCCAGCUGUAAACGAUGCAAACUCGGUGAUGCAUUGGCUUAUGGCCAAUGCAGUGCCGCAGGGAAGCCGUUAAGUUUGCCGCCUGGGAAGUACGGACGCAAGUUCUGAAACUUAAAGGAAAUUGGCGGGG
rnacentral:rRNA from 1 species